rnacentral:rRNA from 1 species
AUUGAACGCUGGCGGAAUGCUUUACACAUGCAAGUCGAACGGUAGAGGGGGCAACCCCUUGAGAGUGGCGAACGGGUGAGUAAUAUAUCGGAACGUGCCCAGUCGUGGGGAUAACGUAGCGAAAGUUACGCUAAUACCGCAUACGAUCUAAGGAUGAAAGCGGGGGAUCGCAAGACCUCGCGCGAUUGGAGCGGCCGAUAUCAGAUUAGGUAGUUGGUGGGGGUAAAGGCUCACCAAGCCAACGAUCUGUAGCUGGUCUGAGAGGACGACCAGCCACACUGGAACUGAGACACGGUCCAGACUCCUACGGGAGGCAGCAGUGGGGAAUUUUGGACAAUGGACGCAAGUCUGAUCCAGCCAUUCCGCGUGCAGGAUGAAGGCCCUCGGGUUGUAAACUGCUUUUGUACGGAACGAAAGGUUUCGUCUUAAUACGAGGAGCGUCAUGACGGUACCGUAAGAAUAAGC